GAUGAACGCUAGCGGCAGGCUUAACACAUGCAAGUCGAGGGGCAGCACGUCUUCGGAUGGUGGCGACCGGCGCACGGGUGAGUAACGCGUAUGCAAUCUACCUUUUACAGGGGCAUAGCCCGGGGAAACCCGGAUUAAUAUCCUAUAGUACCAUUAUAUAGCAUUAUAUUAUGGUUAAAGUUUCGGCGGUAAAAGAUGAGCAUGCGUCCUAUUAGCUUGAUGGUAAGGUAACGGCUUACCAUGGCUAUGAUGGGUAGGGGUCCUGAGAGGGAGACCCCCCACACUGGUACUGAGACACGGACCAGACUCCUACGGGAGGCAGCAGUGAGGAAUAUUGGACAAUGGGCGCAAGCCUGAUCCAGCCAUGCCGCGUGCAGGAAGACGGCCCUAUGGGUUGUAAACUGCUUUUAUACGGGAAGAAACACCCCUUCGUGAAGGGACUUGACGGUACCGUAUGAAUAAGGAUCGGCUAACUCCGUGCCAGCAGCCGCGGUAAUACGGAGGAU
rnacentral:rRNA from 1 species